rnacentral:rRNA from 1 species
AGCGAACGCUGGCGGCAGGCCUAACACAUGCAAGUCGAACGAACUCUUCGGAGUUAGUGGCGGACGGGUGAGUAACACGUGGGAACGUGCCUUUUGGUUCGGAAUAACUCAGGGAAACUUGUGCUAAUACCGAAUGUGCCCUUCGGGGGAAAGAUUUAUCGCCAUUAGAGCGGCCCGCGUCUGAUUAGCUAGUUGGUGAGGUAACGGCUCACCAAGGCGACGAUCAGUAGCUGGUCUGAGAGGAUGACCAGCCACGCUGGGACUGAGACACGGCCCAGACUCCUACGGGAGGCAGCAGUGGGGAAUCUUGCGCAAUGGGCGAAAGCCUGACGCAGCCAUGCCGCGUGAAUGAUGAAGGUCUUAGGAUUGUAAAAUUCUUUCACCGGGGACGAUAAUGACGGUACCCGGAGAAGAAGCCCCGGCUAACUUCGUG